rnacentral:rRNA from 1 species
CGUUGUCCGGAAUCACUGGGCGUAAAGGGCGCGUAGGUGGCUUGCCAAGCGUGUGGUGAAAGCCCGGAGCUCAACUCCGGGUCUGCCAUGCGAACUGGCAGGCUUGAGCACGGUAGAGGCCAAUGGAAUUCCGGGUGUAGCGGUGGAAUGCGUAGAGAUCCGGAAGAACACCGGUGGCGAAGGCGGUUGGCUGGGCCGUAGCUGACACUGAGGCGCGACAGCGUGGGGAGCAAACAGGAUUAGAUACCCUGGUAGUCCACGCCGUAAACGAUGGGCACUAGGUCCUUGGGGGAGCGACCCCGUGAGGGCCGGCGCUAACGCAUUAAGUGCCCCGCCUGGGGAGUACGGCCGCAAGGCUG